rnacentral:rRNA from 1 species
UACGAAGGGGGCUAGCGUUGUUCGGAAUUACUGGGCGUAAAGCGCACGUAGGCGGAUACUUAAGUCAGGGGUGAAAUCCUGGAGCUCAACUCCAGAACUGCCUUUGAUACUGGCGAUCUUGAGUCCGGGAGAGGUGAGUGGAACUCCGAGUGUAGAGGUGAAAUUCGUAGAUAUUCGGAAGAACACCAGUGGCGAAGGCGGCUCACUGGCCCGGUACUGACGCUGAUGUGCGAAAGCGUGGGGAGCAAACAGG